rnacentral:rRNA from 1 species
UACGUAGGAUGCAAGCGUUGUCCGGAUUUACUGGGCGUAAAGCGCGCGCAGGCGGCACACCAAGUACCCUAUGAAAUCUCCUUGCUCAACGGGGAGGGUGUGGGGUAGACUGAUGAGCUAGAGUGUGGCAGAGGGGGGUAGAAUUGCUGGUGUAGCGGUGAAAUGCGUAGAGAUCAGCAGGAAUACCCGUGGCGAAGGCGGCCCCCUGGACCACUACUGACGCUGAGGCGCGAAGGCUAGGGGAGCGAACGGG